rnacentral:rRNA from 1 species
GACGAACGCUGGCGGCGUGCUUAACACAUGCAAGUCGAACGGAAAGGCCCUGCUUUUGUGGGUCGCUCGAGUGGCGAACGGGUGAGUAACACGUGAGUAACCUGCCCUUGACUUUGGGAUAACUCCAGGAAACUGGGGCUAAUACCGGAUAGGAGCUCCUGAUGCAUGGUGGGGGUUGGAAAGUUUCGGCGGUUGGGGAUGGACUAGCGGCUUAUCAGCUUGUUGGUGGGGUUGUGGAUUACCAAGCUUUUGACGGGUAGCCGGCCUGAGAGGGUGACCGGCCACAUUGGGACUGAGAUACGGCCCAGACUCCUACGGGAGGCAGCAGUGGGGAAUAUUGCACAAUGGGCGGAAGCCUGAUGCAGCAACGCCGCGUGCGGGAUGACGGCCUUCGGGUUGUAAACCGCUUUCGCCUGUGACGAAGCGUGAGUGACGGUAAUGGGUAAAGAAGCACCGGCUAACUACGUG